rnacentral:rRNA from 1 species
GGAAGCGCACGAGGCUUCAUUUUGAGGAGAACCUUACCUGGUCUUGACAUCCACAGAAGAAUCCAGAGAUGGAUUUGUGCCUUCGGGAACUGUGAGACAGGUGCUGCAUGGCUGUCGUCAGCUCGUGUUGUGAAAUGUUGGGUUAAGUCCCGCA